GGCCGCUAACCGCUCCCGUAACUGACUUCCAGGGGCGGAGCUGCGCCGCGAGAGGGAGGCCCAAGUAGCGAGCAGGCAACAAGCGGGCAGUGUGCAUAGUUUGCUAGAAGUCACAACCUGAAUUAUGUCCUGAGACCCCAGAAAACAAUUGUAAAUUAAGAAGAAAAUUGAAUACACUCAUUGGAUAAGCAGUUUCACGCAACAAAGGUUGGUGUGACCAGGUGACUGAACUGUAACCAAUGGGAAGUGGGUGGCUCAUGAAACUUUUCUAAGCAUGAUUCAACAUUCUCUUUCCUUACUGAGAGAGUGAACUGAAUCCAAAUAUUCUAAAGCCCUCAGGAAUGGUGGAGGCAUGAGAUGGAAAGAAGCUGUUUCUGCAGUGUCUUCCAAUUGACCAUGUGUGCGGUAGAAAUAAACCUUAUUAAGGCACUGAAA